rnacentral:rRNA from 1 species
AGAGUUUGAUCCUGGCUCAGAUUGAACGCUGGCGGCAUGCCUUACACAUGCAAGUCGAACGGUAACGCGGGGGCAACCCUGGCGACGAGUGGCGAACGGGUGAGUAAUACAUCGGAACAUAUCCAGUAGCGGGGGAUAACCUAUCGAAAGAUGGACUAAUACCGCAUACGAUCUACGGAUGAAAGCAGGGGACCGCAAGGCCUUGCACUAUUGGAGUGGCCGAUGUCGGAUUAGCUAGUUGGUGGGGUAAAAGCCUACCAAGGCGACGAUCCGUAGCUGGUCUGAGAGGACGAUCAGCCACACUGGAACUGAGACACGGUCCAGACUCCUACGGGAGGCAGCAGUGGGGAAUUUUGGACAAUGGGCGCAAGCCUGAUCCAGCCAUGCCGCGUGAGUGAAGAAGGCCUUCGGGUUGUAAAGCUCUUUCGGUGAAGACGAAACGGUUCAUGCUAAUAACGUGAACUAAUGACGGUACUCACAGAAGAAGCACCGGCUAACUACGUGCCAGCAGCCGCGGUAAUACGUAGGGUGCAGGCGUUAAUCGGAAUUACUGGGCGUAAAGCGUGCGCAGGCGGUUUGCUAAGACAGGUGUGAAAUCCCCGGGCUUAACCUGGGAAUUGCGCUUGUAACUGGCAAGCUAGAGUGUGGCAGAGGGGGGUGGAAUUCCACGUGUAGCAGUGAAAUGCGUAGAUAUGUGGAGGAACACCGAUGGCGAAGGCAGCCCCCUGGGUUAACACUGACGCUCAUGCACGAAAGCGUGGGAGCAAACAGGAUUAGAUACCCUGGUAGUCCACGCCCUAAACUAUGUCAACUAGUUGUCGGGGAAGAAAUUCCUUGGUAACGAAGCUAACGCGUGAAGUUGACCGCCUGGGGAGUACGGCCGCAAGGUUAAAACUCAAAGGAAUUGACGGGGACCCGCACAAGCGGUGGAUUAUGUGGAUUAAUUCGAUGCAACGCGAAAAACCUUACCUACCCUUGACAUGCUAGGAAGCCCGCAGAGAUGUGGGUGUGCCCGAAAGGGAACCUAGACACAGGUGCUGCAUGGCUGUCGUCAGCUCGUGUCGUGAGAUGUUGGGUUAAGUCCCGCAACGAGCGCAACCCUUGCCAUUAGUUGCUACAUUCAGUUGGGCACUCUAAUGGGACCGCCGGUGACAAACCGGAGGAAGGUGGGGAUGACGUCAAGUCCUCAUGGCCCUUAUGGGUAGGGCUUCACACGUAAUACAAUGGUCGGUACAGAGGGCUGCCAACCCGCAAGGGGGAGCUAAUCCCAGAAAGCCGAUCGUAGUCCGGAUUGUAGUCUGCAACUCGACUGCAUGAAGCCGGAAUCGCUAGUAAUCGCGGAUCAGCAUGUCGCGGUGAAUACGUUCCCGGGUCUUGUACACACCGCCCGUCACACCAUGGGAGUGGGUUCCACCAGAGGUAGUUAGCCUAACCGCAAGGAGGGCGAUUACCACGGUGAGAUUCAUGACUGGGGUGAAGUCGGAACAAGGUAGCCGUAUCGGAGGUGCGGCUG